GUCUUUGGCCAAACCAACCUGAACACGACUGCCUUAGAAGUAAACAGAGUAGGGCCUGGUUAGUACUUGAAAGGCAGAGAGGUGGCUGGAGAGU
ensembl:rRNA 5S_rRNA 5S ribosomal RNA